rnacentral:rRNA from 1 species
GAUGAACGCUGGCGGCGUGCUUAACACAUGCAAGUCGAACGGAAAGGCUCCUGCUUGCAGGGGUACUCGAGUGGCGAACGGGUGAGUAACACGUGGGUGAUCUGCCCUGCACUUCGGGAUAAGCCUGGGAAACUGGGUCUAAUACCGGAUAGGACCACAUUUUGGAUGGUGUGGUGGAAAGUUUUUCGGUGUGGGAUGAGCGUGCGGCCUAUCAGCUUGUUGGUGGGGUAAUGGCCUACCAAGGCGUCGACGGGUAGCCGGCCUGAGAGGGUGUACGGCCACAUUGGGACUGAGAUACGGCCCAGACUCCUACGGGAGGCAGCAGUGGGGAAUAUUGCACAAUGGGCGCAAGCCUGAUGCAGCGACGCCGCGUGGGGGAUGACGGCCUUCGGGUUGUAAACUCCUUUCGCUAGGGACGAAGCGCAAGUGACGGUACCUGGAGAAGAAGCACCGGCUAACUACGUG